rnacentral:rRNA from 1 species
AGAUUAGAGUUUGAUCAUGGCUCAGAUUGAACGCUGGCGGCAUGCCUAACACAUGCAAGUCGAACGGAAACGAUGCUAGCUUGCUAGCAGGCGUCGAGUGGCGGACGGGUGAGUAAUGCAUAGGAAUCUACCUAGUAGUGGGGGACAACCUGGUGAAAACCAGGCUAAUACCGCAUAAUCCCUACGGGGCAAAGCAGGGGACUUUCGGGCCUUGCGCUAAUAGAUGAGCCUAUGUCGGAUUAGCUUGUUGGUGUGGUAAUGGCUCACCAAGGCAACGAUCCGUAGCUGGUCUGAGAGGAUGAUCAGCCACACUGGGACUGAGACACGGCCCAGACUCCUACGGGAGGCAGCAGUGGGGAAUAUUGCACAAUGGGCGCAAGCCUGAUGCAGCAAUGCCGCGUGUGUGAAGAAGGCCUUAGGGUUGUAAAGCACUUUCAGUAGGGAGGAAAAGUUCAAGGUUAAUAACCUUGGGCCCUGACGUUACCUACAGAAGAAGCACCGGCUAACUCCGUGCCAGCAGCCGCGGUAAUACAGAGGGUGCAAGCGUUAAUCGGAAUUACUGGGCGUAAAGCGCGCGUAGGCGGUUAAGUCAGUCAGAUGUGAAAGCCCCGGGCUCAACCUGGGAACUGCAUUUGAUACUGCUUAGCUAGAGUAUGGUAGAGGAGAGUGGAAUUUCAGGUGUAGCGGUGAAAUGCGUAGAUAUCUGAAGGAACAUCAGUG